AUUUAACGCUGGCGGCAGGCCUAACACAUGCAAGUCGAACGAGUGGCGGACGGGUGAGUAAUGUCUGGGAAACUGCCCGAUGGAGGGGGAUAACUACUGGAAAAGGUAGCUAAUACCGCAUACCAUCGGAUGUGCCCAGAUGGGAUUAGCUAGUCGGUGGGGUAACGGCUCACCUAGGCGACGAUCCCUAGCUGGGCUGAGAGGAUGACCAGCCACACUGGAACUGAGACACGGUCCAGACUCCUCCGGGAGGCAGCAGUGGGGAAUAUUGCACAAUGGGCGCAAGCCUGAUGCAGCCAUGCCGCGUGUAUGAAGAAGGCCUUCGGGUUGUAAAGUACUUUCAGCGAGGAGGCGUUACCCGCAGAAGAAGCGCCGGCUAACUACGUGCCAGCAGCCGCGGUAAUUC
rnacentral:rRNA from 1 species